AGAGUUUGAUCCUGGCUCAGGAUGAACGCUAGCUACAGGCUUAACACAUGCAAGUCGAGGGGCAGCAUCAUCAAAGCUUGCUUUGAUGGAUGGCGACCGGCGCACGGGUGAGUAACACGUAUCCAACCUGCCGACAACACUGGGAUAGCCUUUCGAAAGAAAGAUUAAUACCGGAUGGCAUAGUUUUCCCGCAUGGGAUAAUUAUUAAAGAAUUUCGGUUGUCGAUGGGGAUGCGUUCCAUUAGGCAGUUGGCGGGGUAACGGCCCACCAAACCAACGAUGGAUAGGGGUUCUGAGAGGAAGGUCCCCCACAUUGGAACUGAGACACGGUCCAAACUCCUACGGGAGGCAGCAGUGAGGAAUAUUGGUCAAUGGACGAGAGUCUGAACCAGCCAAGUAGCGUGAAGGAUGACUGCCCUAUGGGUUGUAAACUUCUUUUAUACGGGAAUAAAGUGAGCCACGUGUGGCUUUUUGUAUGUACCGUAUGAAUAAGGAUCGGCUAACUCCGUGCCAGCAGCCGCGGUAAUACGGAGGAUCCGAGCGUUAUCCGGAUUUAUUGGGUUUAAAGGGAGCGUAGGCGGGUUGUUAAGUCAGUUGUGAAAGUUUGCGGCUCAACCGUAAAAUUGCAGUUGAUACUGGCGACCUUGAGUGCAACAGAGGUAGGCGGAAUUCGUGGUGUAGCGGUGAAAUGCUUAGAUAUCACGAAGAACUCCGAUUGCGAAGGCAGCUUACUGGAUUGUAACUGACGCUGAUGCUCGAAAGUGUGGGUAUCAAACAGGAUUAGAUACCCUGGUAGUCCACACAGUAAACGAUGAAUACUCGCUGUUUGCGAUAUACAGUAAGCGGCCAAGCGAAAGCAUUAAGUAUUCCACCUGGGGAGUACGCCGGCAACGGUGAAACUCAAAGGAAUUGACGGGGGCCCGCACAAGCGGAGGAACAUGUGGUUUAA
rnacentral:rRNA from 1 species